CAGCCGCCGCGGUAAAACCAGCACCUCAAGUGGUCAGGAUGAUUAUUGGGCCUAAAGCAUCCGUAGCCGGCUCUGUAAGUUUUCGGUUAAAUCUGUACGCUCAACGUACAGGCUGCCGGGAAUACUGCAGAGCUAGGGAGUGGGAGAGGUAGACGGUACUCGGUAGGAAGGGGUAAAAUGCUUUGAUCUAUCGAUGACCACCUGUGGCGAAGGCGGUCUACCAGAACACGUCCGACGGUGAGGGAUGAAGGCUGGGGGAGCAAACCGGAUUAGAUACCCGGGUAGUCCCAGCUGUAUACUAUGCAAACUCAGUGAUGCAUUGGCUUGUGGCCAAUGCAGUGCUGCAGGGAAGCCGUUAAGUUUGCCGCCUGGGAAGUACGUACGCAAGUAUGAAACUUAAAGGAAUUGGCGGGGGAGCGC
rnacentral:rRNA from 2 species